AACGAACGCUGGCGGCAGGCCUAACACAUGCAAGUCGAGCGAGACCUUCGGGUCUAGCGGCGGACGGGUUAGUAACGCGUGGGAACGUGCCCUUCUCUGCGGAAUAGCCACUGGAAACGGUGAGUAAUACCGCAUACGCCCUUCCGGGGGAAAGAUUUAUCGGAGAAGGAUCGGCCCGCGUUAGAUUAGAUAGUUGGUGGGUAACGGCCUACCAAGUCUACGAUCUAUAGCUGGUUUUAGAGGAUGAUCAGCAACACUGGGACUGAGACACGGCCCAGACUCCUACGGGAGGCAGCAGUGGGGAAUCUUAGACAAUGGGCGCAAGCCUGAUCUAGCCAUGCCGCGUGUGUGAUGAAGGUCUUAGGAUCGUAAAGCACUUUCGCCAGGGAUGAUAAUGACAGUACCUGGUAAAGAAACCCCGGCUAACUCCGUG
rnacentral:rRNA from 1 species